CGUGAGGGUUCGGCCCUCGGCAGACGGCUCAGUAACACGUAGAUAAUUUGCCCUUAGGUGGAGGAUACCCUCGGGAAACUGAGAAUAAUACUCCAUAGAUCUAGACUGCUGGAAUGCUUUUAGAUUGAAAGAUUUAUCGCCUAAGGAUAAGUCUGCGGACUAUCAGGUCGUAGUCAGGGUAAAUACCUGACUAGCCUACGACGGAUACGGGUUGUGAGAGCACUAGCCCGGAGAUGAUAUCUGAGACACGAUAUCAGGCCCUACGGGGCGCAGCAGGCGCGAAAACUUCGCACUGUGCGAAAGCACGACGAGGGAAUCCCAAGUGCUGGCUCGUAAGAGUCAGCUGUUUCUUUGUCUAAAAAACAGAGAGAGUAAGGGCUGGGUAAGACGGGUGCCAGCCGCCGCGGUAAUACCUGCAGCCCAAGUGGUGGCCGCUAUUAUUGGGCCUAAAACGUCCGUAGCCGGUUCUAUAAAUGCCUGGGUAAAUCGUACGGCUUAACCGUACGAAUUCCGGGCAGACUGUUCAACUUGGGACCGGGAGAGGCUAGAGGUACUCCUGGGGUAGAGGUGAAAUUCUGUAAUCCUAGGGGGACCACCAGUGGCGAAGGCGUCUAGCUAGAACGGGUCUGACGGUGAGGGACGAAGCCCUGGGGAGCAAACGGGAUUAGAUACCCCGGUAGUCCAGGGUGUAAACGCUGCUCGCUUGAUGUUAGUCGGGCUCCGAGCCCAACUAGUGUCGGAGAGAAGUUGUUAAGCGAGCUGCCUGGGGAGUACGGUCGCAAGACUGAAACUUAA
rnacentral:rRNA from 1 species